rnacentral:lncRNA from 1 species
CAUGAAUGUUGAAUCAGUAAGAGAAAUUAUCUGAAGUGGAUUUGAAGACUCUUCCUUUGAUUCUAGUGAAGAGAUCCUUUAAGACCCUGAGAAAACAUGUGGCAAUUCUCUGUGAAUUUGGAAAGGAAGCAUUCACCUAUGAAAGAAAAUGCUUCCAUCAGGUACUUCAAGGUUGAAGAGGCAGAGGACGAGUUAUCCACAAGGAAUUUGGAAGAGAAGCUUGUUUCAAAGUUGGAUGAGCCAUGAGAACAACUACCAAAUAAAUCAUUGUGUGGAAAAGAAUUGAUUUGGG